GACAGAGGGUGCAAGCGUUGUUCGGAAUUACUGGGCAUAAAGGGUGCGUAGGUGGCUUGUUAAGUCAGGGGUGAAAGUUUUCGGCCCAACCGGAAAAUGGCCUUUGAUACUGGCGAGCUCGAGUGCGUGAGGGGUAACCGGAACGAGCAGUGUAGCGGUGAAAUGCGUAGAUAUUGCUCGGAAGGCCAACGGCGAAGGCAGGUUACUGGUGCGCAACUGACACUGAGGCACGAAAGCGUGGGGAGCAAACGGG
rnacentral:rRNA from 1 species